AUUUCCUUGAAUCCCUUCCAUCCAGUUCUGUGCCAGAUCCUUUUUCCUUCCACCGCCCUGGCUAUUCCAAGCCCUUUUGAGAGCCAAAGUUUUUAGGACAGCAGAGCACGAAUGAAAAGGGAUCCGAAUCCCUGUUGAUGAGUUUGAGUCAAUAUAAAAUAGAAGGACAGCUGCAUUGGACCACCAAAAUUGUUCAAAGCAGUUGUUACCCAAACCCAGUUUGAAUACUGUGUCUAAUUCUCACCAUCACAUUUGAAGAAUUCAGAGAAACUGGAAUUGGUUCAUGCAAAAGGUAAUCGGGGGACUAUAAUGUGAGUCUCUUGAAGAGAAAUUGAAGGAUAUGGACAUGUUUACUUUGAGAAGUGAAAAUGGGGAACAAUUCACACAGGAAAAAAUACGUUCUUUUUGUUACAGAGCAUAGAACACAAAAUAAUGGAUUUCAUUUAAAAGAAACAGAUAACAGCUCAGUGUUAGAAAACAAAAAAAUCCCUAACAGGAACAUUUUGAUAGUAGAAUCAGAAUCCAGAAAUUGUGAGUUCCCCUUCAUUUGGUGUGUUCAGGUGGAAACAGCAUACUUAUUUGUCAGAGAGGCUUUGAUUCAGAUAAAGAACAUAGUGUUUCCUGUGUGUUACCUGAAACUGAGCUAAGAAGAAUGUGAUGUUGGCUGACAAAAUAGCAGUGGCCUAAAUUAGAAACGAACUCCAUAAUGAUUGAUAAUGUUUGGGAUAAAACAUUUUUCAAGAAUUAAGUUCAGUUUGUUGUCCUUUGUCUAGAAAGAAUUUUAGAAUGCAAACUUGUAAUACAUUCCUCCUAAUCAAAUGCACACAGUAAAAAAAAAAAUUAAGGUGAAUUUUAUAUUUUAAGACAGACAUCCAGAAACAAAAUAUAUUUGAAUUGUUAAAAAGGUUGGGUGUGGGGUAUUGAUAGCUUUCUGUAUUAAGAAUAUGUACCUAUAAUAAAAUACUAGAGGCUUUUGGAACACAUCAAUAUUAUCACAUUUUUUCUCCUGCUUCCUUUCCUUUCCUCCAUUUCUAUCACAUUU